GCUGAGCAGCAUUUCCCGCUGAGGCCUGACAAGAUGAUCUGCCCGGCACAGCUCCUCUGGGUCCUGCUGCUGUGGGCUCCCGCUUCCCUGGGUGAAGUUGUUCUGACUCAGACUCCAGAAACCCUGGCCGCGUCCCCUGGAGACACAGUCACCAUCAAGUGCAAGGCCAGUACCAGCAUUAGCAACUACAUAGGCUGGUACCUCCAGAAACCAGGAGAAGCCCCAAAGCUCCUGAUCUACGAUUCUACCAACCGUGUCUCUGGGAUCCCCGACAGGUUCAGCGGCAGUGGGUCUGGCACUGAUUUCACUCUCACCAUCAGCAGGGUUGAAACCAAGGAUGCUGGAGAUUAUUACUGUCAGCAGCGUCAGAGCACCCCGAUCACAGUGCUACAGACCCGCACAAAAACCUCCUG